rnacentral:snoRNA from 1 species
AUCCUCAGGUUCAUAAGUGUGAUGAUUGGGUGGUUCAUGCUGCAUGAAUGACAUCUGCCUCCUUUUGAACCUUGUUACAACAUUGGCAUAUUACCCAUCUGACG